rnacentral:rRNA from 1 species
GUGGGGGAUAUUGCACAAUGGAGGAAACUCUGAUGCAGCGACGCCGCGUGAGUGAAGAAGUAUUUCGGUAUGUAAAGCUCUAUCAGCAGGGAAGAUAAUGACAGUACCUGACUAAGAAGCCCCGGCUAACUACGUGCCAGCAGCCGCGGUAAUACGUAGGGGGCAAGCGUUAUCCGGAUUUACUGGGUGUAAAGGGACCGUAGACGGAAUGGCAAGUCUGAAGUGAAAUCCUGCGGCUUAACUGCAGAAUUGCUUUGGAAACUGUCAAUCUGGAGUGUUGGAGAGGUAAGCGGAAUUCCUGGUGUAGCGGUGAAAUGCGUAGAUAUCAGGAAGAACACCGGAGGCGAAGGCGGCUUACUGGACAAUAACUGACGUUGAGGCUCGAAAGCGUGGGAAGCAAACAGGAUUAGAUACCCCUGUAGUCC